rnacentral:tRNA from 1 species
GUUAAUGUAGCUUAAAUCAACAAAGCAAGGCACUGAAAAUGCCUAGACGGGUCUACACCCCAUAAACA